GACGUAGGGCGCGAGCGUUGUCCGGAUUUAUUGGGCGUAAAGAGCUCGUAGGCGGCUUGUCGCGUCGGCUGUGAAAUCCCGUGGCUCAACUGCGGGUCUGCAGCCGAUACGGGCAGGCUAGAGUUCGGUAGGGGAGACUGGAAUUCCUGGUGUAGCGGUGAAAUGCGCAGAUAUCAGGAGGAACACCGGUGGCGAAGGCGGGUCUCUGGGCCACUACUGACGCUGAGAAGCGAAAGCAUGGGGAGCGAACAGG
rnacentral:rRNA from 1 species